rnacentral:rRNA from 1 species
CGGCGGACGGGUGAGUAACACGUGGAUAACCUACCUAUAAGACUGGGAUAACUUCGGGAAACCGGAGCUAAUACCGGAUAGUAUAUUGAACCGCAUGGUUCAAUAGUGAAAGACGGUUUUGCUGUCACUUAUAGAUGGAUCCGCGCCGCAUUAGCUAGUUGGUAAGGUAACGGCUUACCAAGGCAACGAUGCGUAGCCGACCUGAGAGGGUGAUCGGCCACACUGGAACUGAGACACGGUCCAG